rnacentral:rRNA from 1 species
GAUGAACGCUGGCGGCGUGCCUAUACAUGCAAGUCGAGCGAACAGACGAGGAGCUUGCUCCUCUGACGUUAGCGGCGGACGGGUGAGUAACACGUGGAUAACCUACCUAUAAGACUGGGAUAACUUCGGGAAACCGGAGCUAAUACCGGAUAAUAUAUUGAACCGCAUGGUUCAAUAGUGAAAGACGGUUUUGCUGUCACUUAUAGAUGGAUCCGCGCCGCAUUAGCUAGUUGGUAAGGUAACGGCUUACCAAGGCAACGAUGCGUAGCCGACCUGAGAGGGUGAUCGGCCACACUGGAACUGAGACACGGUCCAGACUCCUACGGGAGGCAGCAGUAGGGAAUCUUCCGCAAUGGGCGAAAGCCUGACGGAGCAACGCCGCGUGAGUGAUGAAGGUCCUCGGAUCGUAAAACUCUGUUAUUAGGGAAGUACAAAUGUGUAAGUAACUAUGCACGUCUUGACGGUACCUAAUCAGAAAGCCACGGCUAACUACGUG